UACGCAGGGGGCUAGCGUUGUUCGGAAUUACUGGGCGUAAAGCGCGUGUAGGCGGGCCGUUAAGUCGGGGGUGAAAGCCCAGAGCUCAACUCUGGAAUUGCCUUCGAUACUGGCGGCCUGGAGCAUGAUAGAGGCGAGUGGAAUUGCGAGUGUAGAGGUGAAAUUCGUAGAGAUUCGCAGGAACACCAGUGGCGAAGGCGACUCGCUGGAUCAUUGCUGACGAUGAGACGCGAAAGAGUGGGGAGCAAACAGG
rnacentral:rRNA from 1 species